rnacentral:rRNA from 1 species
GAUGAACGCUGGCGGCGUGCCUAAUACAUGCAAGUCGAGCGAACGGACGAGAAGCUUGCUUCUCUGAUGUUAGCGGCGGACGGGUGAGUAACACGUAGAUAACCUACCUAUAAGACUGGGAUAACUUCGGGAAACCGGAGCUAAUACCGGAUAAUAUUUUGAACCGCAUGGUUCAAAAGUGAAAGACGGUCUUGCUGUCACUUAUAGAUGGAUCCGCGCUGCAUUAGCUAGUUGGUAAGGUAACGGCUUACCAAGGCAACGAUGCAUAGCCGACCUGAGAGGGUGAUCGGCCACACUGGAACUGAGACACGGUCCAGACUCCUACGGGAGGCAGCAGUAGGGAAUCUUCCGCAAUGGGCGAAAGCCUGACGGAGCAACGCCGCGUGAGUGAUGAAGGUCUUCGGAUCGUAAAACUCUGUUAUUAGGGAAGAACAUAUGUGUAAGUAACUGUGCACAUCUUGACGGUACCUAAUCAGAAAGCCACGGCUAACUACGUGCCAGCAGCCGCGGUAAUACGUAGGUGGCAAGCGUUAUCCGGAAUUAUUGGGCGUAAAGCGCGCGUAGGCGGUUUUUUAAGUCUGAUGUGAAAGCCCACGGCUCAACCGUGGAGGGUCAUUGGAAACUGGAAAACUUGAGUGCAGAAGAGGAAAGUGGAAUUCCAUGUGUAGCGGUGAAAUGCGCAGAGAUAUGGAGGAACACCAGUGGCGAAGGCGACUUUCUGGUCUGUAACUGACGCUGAUGUGCGAAAGCGUGGGGAUCAAACAGGAUUAGAUACCCUGGUAGUCCACGCCGUAAACGAUGAGUGCUAAGUGUUAGGGGGUUUCCGCCCCUUAGUGCUGCAGCUAACGCAUUAAGCACUCCGCCUGGGGAGUACGACCGCAAGGUUGAAACUCAAGGGAAUUGACGGGGACCCGCACAAGCGGUGGAGCAUGUGGUUUAAUUCGAAGCAACGCGAAGAACCUUACCAAAUCUUGACAUCCUUUGACAACUCUAGAGAUAGAGCCUUCCCCUUCGGGGGACAAAGUGACAGGUGGUGCAUGGUUGUCGUCAGCUCGUGUCGUGAGAUGUUGGGUUAAGUCCCGCAACGAGCGCAACCCUUAAGCUUAGUUGCCAUCAUUAAGUUGGGCACUCUAAGUUGACUGCCGGUGACAAACCGGAGGAAGGUGGGGAUGACGUCAAAUCAUCAUGCCCCUUAUGAUUUGGGCUACACACGUGCUACAAUGGACAAUACAAAGGGCAGCGAAACCGCGAGGUCAAGCAAAUCCCAUAAAGUUGUUCUCAGUUCGGAUUGUAGUCUGCAACUCGACUACAUGAAGCUGGAAUCGCUAGUAAUUGUAGAUCAGCAUGCUACGGUGAAUACGUUCCCGGGUCU